GACUCGGCUCUUCAUGAAUUUCUUUAUGAGGGUAAGGCUACUGUCUGGAUGUUAUACUGUAGUACUUAAAAAAAAAACUUUCCUUCCCUUGAUUAGCUGUGUGCAUUGCUUGUCUAUAUGAAACAUGUCGUUACUUGACUUCUCUACCAAUUAAUUUGUUUUCAUUUUCUUCUUGCAUACAUAAUCGUGCUUCAUGUUCUGUAUUCAUUUCUAUCUAUUUCAGUUGCAAGAAUAGUAGCAGAAAUUGUUUUGUGCUAUCGAUUUUUUUAAUUACUUUAUCUUUCCCUGGAAAAAGACAUGUUUCCUACUAUGUCGACAUAAAUUGAAUGUUAUACUAUAGUUUAUCCUCUAACUUGGCCAUACCUUCUGUCUUUAGAUUUCCUAAUAAUGUGGCAGAGAUAUGUUUUCGUGACUUUAAGUUUAAGAUUUAGAUUUUCUUUCAAUUAGAAUAUGACUUAAUUUGCUAAAGUUAUGUUUUCUUUGAUGCAGGAGAAGAUAGAAUCUAAAACAGAUAUACUUAAGGAAAUUCUAAACCCAGUAGUCGCUGAAGCUGAAGAAGUUUCAUGGCCUCCAAGGGAUCCUGAAGCUCUCAUAUUGAUGGAAAAAUAAAUUGGAGAGGAAGCUCUCGGAGGCAGCAGGGAGAGAGGUGGUUCUUUGGUUCAUGGAAGAGAAGGCAGAUGACAUCACGAAGCAGAUAAAUACUUGCAAUGGUUUUUAUUGUGAUAGCUUCAAGCCAAACAAUGAAACGAGUCCUAAGAUGUGGACAGAAAAUUGGACUGGCUGUUUUAAAAGUUGGGAUUCACCAGAUCCUCAUAGGCCCGCAGAGGAUGUAGCUUUGGUUGUUGCUCGAUUUUUCCAAAGAGGAGGAAUUGUGCGUAAUGUUGUGCGAUGGAGCAUACAGAACCUCUUGUAAAUAAUUUAUGUAAAAGUUUGUAAACAAUUUAUGUAUCUCUCUACUAUUUU